UACGGAGGGGGCUAGCGUUGUUCGGAAUUACUGGGCGUAAAGCGCGCGUAGGCGGCUUUGUAAGUUAGAGGUGAAAGCCCAGGGCUCAACCCUGGAAUUGCCUUUAAGACUGCAUCGCUUGAACAUCGGAGAGGUAAGUGGAAUUCCGAGUGUAGAGGUGAAAUGCGCAGAUAUCGGGAGGAACACCAACGGCGAAGGCAGCACUCUGGGACUGGAACUGACGCUGAGGAGCGAAAGCGUGGGUAGCAAACAGG
rnacentral:rRNA from 1 species